UCCAAUUCUUACUGAACAAAAAAAAAGUGGCACCUCGUUAUGUUUAUGUAAAAGAAACUACAGAUCUUCUGUUCACAGGAUAUGUCAAAACAACAACAAUUUCAAUACAUUUUACAACGACAGAGCAACUGAAUAUCGCGAACAUGUGAAAGAAGGGAGAGAUGCUAACGCCUGCUCAUUUUUACAUUUCGUCUCUAUGUAUCCUAAUUGGGAAGUACCUAAUAUAAGCCAGAAUCACUGGCAUAUUUGUAUAGUAGAUCAUUUAUCAAUCCAAUCUUUGAAAAGAAGCAUCAUAUAUAGAGGGAUGUUAAAAGCUGCAAUGAUAGUAAUUAUACUCAAUGUCCUCACCAAUCUCCUAAUUACCAUCUCUGUCUUUGAUUUGUUUGUCUGAGGCAGUGCUUUUACCGCGGUAUCUGAUCCUAUAUGUAAAGUCACAUCACUGGGAUUUGAGGUAUCCGUCUCUUGUUUUCUGGCAACUGAUCGCAUGACAGCAUUACCCCUGCAUUCGAGAAAAAUGCAUCGAUGUAAGUUGAGCAUCCAAUAGUCAAGGAGGCACCCAAUAGAUUACAGAAGAAUGACAAACAUUGAACUGAAGUGAUGAUAGCAUGAUUAGCUUGCUUAUCUUGAACAAAUCAACAUGGAAUCAAAUUUAUGAAGAAAAAGAAAAAUAUUGAAGGACAACUACCUAAGUAGCUCGGACUCGAGUGUGAGUGUUUGAUAAGGGUGCAUAUCUCGAAUCCUUCAUGAUCUAAAUUUUAAGAUUCAGGGGUACAAAUCCAGUAUAGAUGCUAGUGCGAGGAUUCAACUAAAAAUAAUUCAGUUAGCUAAUAACAGAGUUACAAAAAUAUGCCUAAAUUAUGAUGGACUAUUUGGAGGAAAAGGAAUGCACAAUUAUUUUAGAGCAAGUUGGAUCUGUGAUUAUUAUUAAGUAUAGAUGCAUCUUCUUACUGUUUUUUAGGGUGUAACACGGUUGUUGGAAAUAAUGAUAUAUAGGUCAUGAUAGACUACUUGAGUUCAUUGCACAUUCAACAGUGAUGUUGUAUGGUAUAAAUCUUUCAAGCACCUUCUGGUUGCGGACUACAUACAAAUAUCUUUAACUGAUAUAAAAAAAAAAAAAAAAGCAUAUGCCUAAAUUAUGAUUUCUUCAUAGCUUUAGUUUCAAAAAUCAUUGUAUGUGUCUCGAAUUUCUCUAUUGAUUUUGGUCAAAAGUAUCCAAAAACGAUUGGCCAAAUGUGGUACGGAUCCCAUACACAUGUCGUGUCGACACAGGUGUGGCACUGGAAGUGAAGAAUCCGAGCAACUUAGACUACUCCAAGCCAAGUUGUAGUGUGAGAUACUUCCUCACUGACAGUAGACUUAGACAUACAGAUUUUUAGAGGUACAUGGGGACUUGCUGUAAUGCACGAUCAGAUCCUGCAAUUCUUAAAGUGCAUUGCUAUCUAACAAGGUUAUGGUGCUUGUAAUCUAGGAGGCAACUUCGAGAAACACACAAGCAUGCUCAAGUAAAAAUAAAUAGUUACUCGCUGCAGUUCAUGCAAUGACUGGUUCUCUUUGAUGGGACUUACCGUUCUACUGAAGCGCUGUCGCUUGAGCAUGUAGAAGACACUUUAAAGGUUUUCUUUAUGAGGUGCAUCGAUCCUUCUGCAUCCCAUAUCUCCUCAUAUUCAUAUAUCUCAUCUUCACUUUUCAGUUUUUCCCCACCUCCCGAAAAGCUUGAACUAAUUAGACCUCUUACAUUCCUCAGAAAUCCAUCGAGAUAGUGCGGAAAGAGCACCCCAUUCGUGGGCCAAAGGACGGCAAUAAGAAGGGUCAUGACAAACAGCAAAAUAUACCUGAAACAUCCACAAACAAACUUUAAGAUUACAAGAAACACGGUUUAUUAAGACAAAUGUUUUGUUUUCAUCUCAAUAUACUGAAUUACCAUAUGUAAAUGUAUAACUGCACAGGGAGAAAGCACACUUUUGUGGAAAUUGCCUCCUCUGGCAUUGAUCCGUUCGGUAAGAUAAGAUUACUUGCAGAUAAUAGCAUGUAAGAUGGAAACAAAUUUCCCUGCUGCCAGCUUAUAGUCCCUAGAGUAUGCUGCACAACACUAUCAAUCAAACACCAUCCAAUCAAUACAAACUUUUUCAGUUAAACAAGGUAUGAUACCUCUUUUACGGAGCCAUAUUUGGAUUUGUGGAUUACUGUACACUGAUCAUGGUCAUGCCAGGAGAGAACUAGUGCCUGCAGAAACUCAAAAUAAUGCAACCCAAAAAUCAUUCAUUUCAAUUAGUAUUGGGUAGAAAUUUCUUCCCUUUAUAUUGCUACUUUGUUUUGGAUAAGCCUACAUUACAUGCAAUAGUAUCUAGAAUUACUACUGGAAAAAUAUAUAAAAGAUCAUUGGGCCAUGCGGGCAUCAUAAAAUGGAAGGAAAUACUUACAGGUUUGAUCGAGUCAAGCAGAACAUUUGUUCCUUUUUCAGUAAUAUAGUUAUGAUAUCUGUGAAUGGAAUUGUGACCAAGUCUGACAUAAACAUCCAUGCGUACAGACACGGUAAAUCCGUAAUAAGCCACUAAAAGUGAGAGUAAGAGCUUACAAUAUUUCAUUAUCCUGAGCAGCACGGUUGAUUCUCUGAAAUAAAUGACGAAAUAUGUAACUUUUCAUUAUAAACUCUUUCUCUCAGGAUUCUACAUGAUACCAAAGAUAUGUUUAUCAAAACAGAAUAUAUGAGGGACCUAUUAAUUAACCAUAUUACAAGAAAAGUCACAUUUUUCUCUUCACAAUAGCAACAAGCAAAAUGAAGAAGAAUUUUUAAAGAUCAUAAUUCCUAUUGUUUAGGUUACCGAACUCAAGUGCUCUUUUACUGGAGAGGAAUAGUACAUGAAUGGUGACUUUCAGGGGAGGGAAUCUUUCCUCUAUAAAAUAGAAAAAGCUGAAACAACUUUGACAAGUUUAAGAAAAAGUUAAAUUUUACCUGAUUAAUAAUUGAUGAUGAGCGAUAUGAACCGCACACAGUUUGAUCUGGUCGAUACAAUGGAAUAUGAGUCAAUAGAACCCUUGGAUUUGAAGACAGAUCUGCAUAAGACAGAGUAAAAUGAUCUGAGCAUCUUACACAUUAGUCAAAUCACAACAUACAUGGAUAGUGAUUGGCUGAACAUACGCUUAGAGACAUUUUUGACAAAUUCCCAUGUGGCAGGGGUUACAUUGUCUUGGGGAUACCCUGUAGACAAGAGAUUUUGCUGUGAGUCUUUACGAAAUAACAACACCACGAAUUGACCCAUAAUCAAUAGUUUCUUUUUCAUGUUAAUUGAUAGGAAGAAAAUCAAAAUCAUUGAAGUGGUGUUUACAAAACAACAACAUGAAUUGAAGCAGCUCAUUAGCAAUGAAUUACUACUUAUAUAAUCUGUUCUGAUCGUCGAAGUGUAGUCACAUGGUCAUGUGUCAUACAGAAAAUUACAUUAUAGUUAGAACCCUCUAUCUCGAAGAGUAGUCACAUGUUCUAAAACAGCAACUAAUAAAUAAAUUAGCAUUUUUAGACACUUCAUGUACAUAAAAAGGUAUAAAGGAAUUGGGAGAUUGAAAUAAGAGAAAGAAAAACACCAGGAAAAUAUAUUCUUGAAUACUUAUUCAAAUAAUGGAUUUUAACUCUUCGACACUGAAACAAGAAAAGCUAAUUUUAUCUCUAAGCAAUAACAGUUGAAGUCUCCAAACUUUUAUAUAUCAAUAGAAAGAACAAAAAGAGCUCCAAAUAAAGAGUAGAUUGUGAUAUUACCAUCUAAGGUUUGCGCAUCGAUGGUGAUGAAAUCUACUUUCCCAGCUGUAAACUGAUAGCUCCUUGCACCAAAUGCUUUCUCAUACUGUUUGAUAACCUGCAUUAUUGUAUGCACAGAUAAGAUCGGAAAUAGAAUAGGAGUAAACCAGAAUGUUCUGCUUCACAGACCAGGCUGGAGCAAUGAAUGCACUAAAUCUGUAUGUUAAAGUUUCCGGUAUAGAGAUUCCAUCAGGCUAGUAACAUGACAAAAUAGCUAGCCAAAUGGGAGAACUUAAGAAAUAGGUUUGCAGAAUCAUAAAUUUUUGUUUUAUAGAGACAUUUGGUGCUCCUUGAAACAAAGCACUGAUGCCAGAUAAAUUGAAGCUUGUAUGGGUUUGUUUAAGCAACUACAAACACUAGUUGACCUAAUCUGAAAACUCUUCAUGCUAUGAAUAAUAAAUUAGUUAACUUACUUAAUAGGCAUUUGGCCCCUGGAUAUGGAACCCCAAUUUCAAGUUUUGAUUUGAAAUUGUCUAAGAAAUUUGCACAAAAUUUCAACUUCAAUUUCAAAUCUCAAAUUCUCCAAAAAGUAGAUUUCAAUUUUUUUUUAAAUGUAAAACUUGACUCAUGCUCGACGUAAACUUUGGGAAGUUUUGAUAGUUACACAAAUUGCGGGGUUUUCAUGUUUACGAGGAAAAAUACAACUUAAGAAAUCUAAAUUGCAUGUCCAAACAAAAUUUCAACUUUAAAUCAAUAUUGAUUUUAAUUCACAAAAAUCAUGUCCAAACGAGGCCUUAGUACUCAGAUGAUCAUGACUCCAAAAUUAAGCUCUAUUAGAUGUUGUUGUGUCUGUAUCCUCUCAAUGUGAAACCUGGUACUCAUCGGAACUCUUGGUUGUAGAAAAUUUAGGUGCAUCAAAUUUCCUUAACAAUUAUGACCAACAAGGUAACUUGCUACAGUUAAUCAUGGACACUAUUCCAGCAGUUUUCCAGUAUCUGGGACACUAGAAAGAGUGAAAGACAAAGCUCAUGACUAAAUUUUCAACCAAAAGUUUCCUAAUGUGAUAACUGAGCUCGAGCAGGCCGCAACGCACCAAAAAAUAUUUCUUCAGUACUUAUUGUGCAAUGUUGGGGGCUCGAAGACCAUCAGAUACCGUCCUAGUCUCAACCAUAAGUGAUGCCGGUCAGGGAUCUGUUGCUUUUAGGACUCCGCCGGAACCUUAUGAGAAAUCAAUUUUUUGGGUUCCGGAGGAGUAUGGUCGCAAGGCUGAAACUUAAAAGAAUUGAUGGAAGUGCACCACCAGGAAUUGCGGCUUAAUUUGACUCAAGACGGGAAAACUUACCAAGUCCAGAAAUAGUAAGUAUUUCUUGAUUCUAUGGGUGGUGGUGCAUGGUUGUUCUUAGUUGGUGGAGCGAUUUGUCUGGUUAAUUCCGUUAGCAAAACAAGACCUCAGCCUGCUAACUAGCUAUGCGGAGGUAUCCCUUCGCGACCGCUUCUUUGAGGGAUUAUGGCCUUUUAGGCCGCGGAAAUUUGAAACCAUCCACUAAAUAAUAGGUUUGUUUGAUGCAAUGUUUUAGAAGGAGAUUUAAUCUCCAUCUUUUAAUAGGCUUAUGAGUAAUUUGAUACAUGAAAAGAAGAUGAGAUAUGAACAAGUCAAAAAGCAUAUUAAAAAUUCAAAUUUGGCAUCAGUUAGAAAACAUGUUCCAACUCUAUAUUAAUAAUUAACACACCUCUGGCAUGCGCGAGUGAAAAGCUGCAUACCCUAUAUCAUGGUUUCCAGCAAGGUAGUACAGCUUUAUGUUUGUAGUUUGCUCAAGCAUGUCAAUGUCAAAUAUAUGCUUAAACCGACUCCGGGAUUCCUGCCAUCUAUCAAAUUAAAUAAAUCGAAGUCCAAAGCAGAAGAAUAACUAGAGAACAUUCAGAUAUUUCAUUUAUGAAAAUGACUCAAUUAUGAACUUUAUAUAAGGAAGCAACUGAUAGGAAUGUGUCUUGAAUUAGUCCAAAAAGUAGAGUUUUCGACUGAGAUACAGAGAAUUACAAUCAGAGCUAGGUUUCAAUUUUCAUCCACAAAGUAGUUUAAUUUUUUAUUAGGAGAGUAAAAUUUUAAGAUAGAUCAUUAAGCAUACACAAGUACUUACUCUUCAUCAGAAAGAAAAGACCCACCGUCGGAACAAUCACCUAGGAACAGAAUUAUAUCAGGUUUGGAUGGUAAAAUAGAUGAUAGGAAUGCCCUGCGCAUAUACAAAUAUGUAUAGAACUGAGCAGCUUCAAGUGCAAAGGAUUUCGGGGCAAGAUGAAGAGAAGUUCUGUCCAUGAGCUGUCAAAAUACAAAAUAUGUUGUGAAUAUGAAAUCAAAAUGUCAAAGCACAGAAUAAUAUAAAGAUAAGCACAGUAAAUCCACCAUUAUUUUCAGAAGCAAUACCUGAGGAUCAGUCAGAACAGCAAUUUUCACGUAAUCACGUUGAUGAUCUACUCCAUCUGACUGAAACCAAGGAAAACAAAGGUUAAUACACCUGAGUUUUUACGCCAGCUCAAAAAAGCUGAAUCUUUAUGGAGGGGACAAGUCAUUAAAAUGUAUACAUCUAAGUAUCGAGAUAAUUAAGAAGUAGACUUCAUGAAGAGGAAAUUUACCGAAAAAGCAUUGCCUUAUCUAGAGCUACCAAAUUAUUGCUCUAUAAUUAACCGAAGAAGUUCCCUCAAAUAAAGUAUCUAGCAUACGAAAGUCCACCACUUAUACAUAUAAUUAUAAGUUAACUUACCAAAAAGAGUUCUUUUAUUUUCUUUUUAAUUUCUAAACAAGCUAGCCUUUUGUUAAAUCUGAAUGAGCUUUUGACAGAAUAUUGUUAGGAUCAAGCGCUUAGCCGCUUACCAUCAUACCAAAAGUUAUAGUUGAUAGCAAGGGAUCAACUUUAUUUCUUAACCAAGCCCACCAAUCAAGCGCCACAUUCGAUCAUGACUCCGACCCAGGCCACCCCAGCCCCCUUGUAGACCUUCCCAUAGGUAUGAUGUUGGCAUUACCCAACACUUAUGAUUCUCAAUGAGUAAACAAGAACUAACACACAAAAUCACAGCUCCAACUAGCAUAAAAAGUGGUUGGAAGUACAAAAUGAAAGGCCACUAUCAUUUUACAAACUAAAGAUGAUAACAAUUGCAUACACUAUAUACUAAUUCACAGAUUCAGUUGGAAGGAUAAAUUUCAUCUUCCAUUGGUCAACGGUGAGCUGAAUAUUCCCUGAUCUGGAGUUGAGCUGCUUAAGAUGAGGAAUCCCAAAUCCCAAAAUAGACUUACAAAAAUGGGAAAUGGAAAUCAUUUUUAACCAAAAGAAGUAGAAAAAGAUCAUUUCUUUAACAUCACACAACCCCUCAAAAUCCAAGCUCACUUGCAGCUGAACACUGUCAAUUACAUCACAAAACAGAACAAUAAAUAGAGAAAAAAAAUGAUUCUUGAAUCUAGCUCAAGUCAAAGAUAAAGUUAAAAGUAAAUUACCACUUCAUCAAAGUUUGGAACUUUACCAUGGAAGAAGAAGGAGGAGGAUGAGGCCAAGAACAUGAGAGAAAAGGGACCCAAAAUGAGAACAUCUCUCCAUAGAGAAGAGUCAAUGCCCAAAUAAGGCUUAAGAAAACAGCUAACUUCAACAUCUCUGUUAACUCAGCAAUUACUGCUCCCUCUCUACUUCCAUUUUUUUCUUCUAGAUCCCAAAACAAAGCUCACAAAGCUGAAUAAGUUAGUUUAAUUAGCUGAGUUUUUUAGACUUUUAGUUAUAGGUAGCUUGGCACCUCUUUAACAUCAAUGGUGAUUUUCUUCUAUUUUUCUUAAUUAUUUUUUAUUUUUUAUUUUUUAUUUCAUGGUUUUUCGUUUGUACAAUGAUUAGUAAGCAGUUUUUUUAUCAACAUACUUCUGAGGGAUAAUUAUGAAAUUCAGAAAUUAUGUAAAGCAGGUAUACUUAACUAAUUUUAUAUAAUAGUAGUAAUAACUUUUAGUAAGUUUUAAUCUUGAAAUGAAUAUAGCUUUUUAGAAAACUAAAAGAUGGCUUUAAAAUAUCACAUUUAAUUGCCUUAAAAAUAUUACAGUAUUUGAUUACAAUGUAGGGAGAUAUUAGUAUAAGGGUCGUUUGGUCAUGCGAUAUGAAAUCAUGAUAUGAAUCAUGAAAUAAAAUUAUGAGAUGAAAUGGUUUGGUCAUGCGAUAUGAAAUCAUGAAAUGAUGUUGAAGUUUUGUUUGAACAUGCGAUUUGAACCUUUUAUGUGGUAUGUUUUCUCGUAAACAUAAAAAUCUCAUAAGUUGUAAACUAUUAAAUUGUCCCAAUUCUUUAUACAAUCUUACCAAAUAAAUAAAAGUUUAUAAAAUCCCAUAAUACAUUAUCACAAAGAUAUUCUUAAAAAAUACAAGAUUUAUUGAUCAAACUUUAAUUCAAUAAAAAAAAUUAAACAUGUAUAAAUUGUGGUGUACUAGUUUUUAAUAUAGUCUCCCACAUAGUACGGACAACUUUUUCAAGUUGAACUUACAUUUCUUGUUCAUAUGACCAAGAAGACGAAUCAACAUUUUUACUUUGAGCCAUUUGUUGGUCAAUUUGGUUGGUAAAUAAAUUUGAUAAAAAUAAUAAAUUUGGUGAAUAUAAAUGGUAAAGUAGCAAUUGAUAAAUUCUAUGUUUUGAGAAUAAUCGAUAUAUGAGAUGUAAAUGAUUUAAAAAGUAAUGAAAUGAAUUAUAAAUUUAUUUGCAUAUGAAAUAAAUGGUUGGUAGUAGGGGUGUACAAAACCGAACCGAAAACCGAACCAAACCGCAAAAUCGAGUCAACCCGGAAAAAAAACCCGACUAGUGGUUUGGUUUUAGAAAAAAAAAAACCGCUAUAUUUGGGUUUGUUUGGUUUUAAACUAAAAAAAAAACACUCAAAGACCAAACCAACCCGAAUUUAUAUAUAUAAUUUUAAAAUUUAUUUAUACAUAAAAAUAUUUACUUUGAUAUAGUUUUAAAAAGUUUCUUAUACUUUUCCAUAGUUUUUAUCUUUUAAUAUAUUAUUUCAAGUUUGAAACUUAGAACUUGGCCAAUAAAGCUUAAAUCAAAAUCAAACUAAUACUAAUGCAAAAAGAAAAUCAAUUCAACACUAAGAAUGACAAUAAUAUUGAAUAUUUGCUCUUUAGUUUUACAUUGGUUUAGACAAUUAAAAUACAUAAUCUAAUUUUAAUUUUCUUUAAUAUUUAGUCAUGUAACUAAUACUUAUUAAACUUAAUUUUAGCAUGAUUUAGUACUUUUAAAUUAUGAUCAUUUUUAUUAUGACUUGUUAAUUUGCAAUAUUUGUUUUACGCAAUUUCAUUAUUAUUAUUUUUGUUGGAUAUUUUAGUGUCAUUAAUCAUAUCAUAUUGUGUUAUAUUUUUAAGAAACAUCUUAGAUAGUUGUAUUUUUGGUAGGACUAAAGAAAUAUUUGAAGUACAAUUAAAUUAUAUGUUUGUAUGAAUACUUUACCGGAAAAACCUGAAACAACCCGAAAAACCCGAGGUUGAAAACCCCGAGUUUUAUUGGUUUGGUUUGGUUUAUAAAUUUAAAAAUUCGACACAUAUGGUUUGGUUUGAUAUUUGAAAAAACUGAACCAACCUAGCCAUGUACACCCCUAGUUGGUAGAUAUAAAUGUGGGGUUGUUUUUACAAAAUAUAAACUUGUGGGUCAAUUUUUAUAUUUGAAAAAUCUCAAAUCAUGAUUUGAAAUUCCCAAAUCAUAAUUUUUGGAGAAUAUGAGAUCAUGAGAUGAAAUCAGCGUGAAAUCACAUGUCUAAACGCUAAUUUCAUCUCAUAAUUUCAUAUCAUGAUAUGAUAUCGCAUGGUCAAACUCUUACUUAUCGUUUCUUUUUGAAGUUUGGGGUUUUAUAAAAGAAUCUUCUCAAGCUACUCUAUCUACUCUAUUGUUCCUUUUUACUAGUCUCUUGUAUUGAAAAAAAUAAAAUUUUCAUUUUAUUUUUCUAUUUAAAUCAAUCAAGAGAGAUUUAUUGAUUUUUUUAGAUUUUAAUUAUUAAAUAAUUACAUAAAAUAUUAUUUCUUUCAUUUGUUUUUACUUGUCCACUAUACUGAAAAUAGAUAUCCACAAUUACUUGUCUAGUUUGGAAAAUAAAAAAUAAUUUAUCACUUAGUUUUCAAUUUACAUUAUUAUUAACUAUAAUCAUUUUUCCAUGCAUUUUUCAAAAUAUUGAAUUUAUUGUAUCCAAAAUGUGAUAAUGUUAAAUUGUCAUUCUAUUUAUUAUUCCUUAAGAAAUGUGUUAAGUCAACACCGAACAAUUAAAAAUUCUAAAAAAGUUAUAGUUAGACUUUCAAAGUAUAGUUAAUACUUUGUAUACAAAAUUACACCGAAUAUAUUAUUAUUGUCAUUAAUAAUACUUUUGUGUGGAAAAUUUGGUUAAACACCUCAUAACUAAUGAUUUUCUUAAGAAAAGUUUCAAGUUAUCAAUUAAGGACAAUUAAAAAGGAACGUCAAGAGAAUUUGAUUACUGUGAAAAUUGGGUUAGACUUUGUUCGAAGACAUUAAUGUAAGAAGGUAUUAUUUUUUUCUUAAAUGGUCUUAACAAAUAUCUAAUGAAUAAUUUUCAAAUAUACUUCUUUGCAAUUUCCUAUUUAUACUUUUCUCAGUGGAUAUACCAAAACCUUAAAAAAUUUACUUAUUGUUGACCAGAUGGAAGUAAGUAUAUACAAACUGUUGUCUGUCUUUAAUAUACAUCAAUAAACACCAUCCUUAUGUCCCUUUGUUUCACCAAAAUGUCGAAAAAUGACUCCAAAAAUUAUUUUCAAAAGAUGUAAAAUGAUAUUGUACCAAAAGAACCAAGUAAACGUUUUAGCAAAAUACAAUGUCACGUACAAUAACAAACAAUUAAAUGUUAUAACCAGUGUCUCGUCUUUCCCCAGAAGCACAAAUCCACGCAGGAAAAACAGUACUAUGCACAAAACUGAAUAAUCCAGUUCAUCAACACUGUGUAAGAAUUUCUUCUUUUUAAGGAUACAUUAUAACAAUUACACUCGAUCCCAAUUUGAGGAUCGAUCACCACUAUGGAAAUAUAGGAAUAAGCUACAACAAUUUAACAACUAUAACUACGCCUCAGCCCCAAAAGCAAGUUGGGGUCAAUAGGUACAUUUUGAAUGGUAUACGUUGAGCAGCAAGUAUGUGAAGAACCAAACAUGAACUUUUUUGGGCUACGAUUCGUGUUACCAAUGUAUCUGAAUGCUGUCUGGGAGUUUAUCAGAAGCUUCUUUAUGUGUAACAUAUAUGGACCUGAGUACAAAGAGAGCUGGGAAUCAAUAGUUUUUCGGAUGGUGGGGAUGUUUCUUCCAGGGAUUUCUGCUCAUAGCCCGGUUAAUUAUGUCAACUCUGUAAGACUUGGAAGGAAGAAGUGUUCAGAUGUCAUCGUUUUGGAAAGUCUAGAUUGAAAUGCCUUGAUCAAGUGAUUUAUGUCUCAAAAAAUAAACUCGUUAGAGCUUUUUCGUGUCUUGAAUAAAGUUUACAGAUAAUAUUUUGGUGUUGUGAUUGUAAGAAGUGUUGGAACUAUUAUGAGUUGUUGAUGUGAAUGUAUCAAUGAGAGUACAUGUAGAAGUUUUUGUUGUUGUUGUUGUUGAAUGUAUGUAGAUUGGUUUGUCUUAUGAACCUAUUGAAUAAAUGUUGUUUCAGUGAUUGCUUGUUAUUAGAUUUGUUUGAUAAAGGCAAGUGUUUUACAUUCAUUGAUUUGACGUGAACAUCUGGUUCUGCCAGUCAUCCCCCAACCAAUGCCACUAAUUGACAUGAACCCAAAAUGUACGUAAAAUGUUAUCAAGGUAGUAACCGUAAAUAUAUCAUGUUGAAAAUUGAAAUUAAAAAGUUACUUUAAAAAAAGGCAUUCUUAUUGAAACAGAAUGAAUACACCUUAUUAGUAAACGUAAAAAACACUGAAACUAAUUCUAUAUAAUUUGGUGAUUCAUCAUUAGUUAAAUUUGAUGAGCAACUACUGACAACUUUAGACUAACAAAAAUAACACACAAAAAUAUAUACAAAUACUAUGUGCACAAGAAUAAAGAUAGUUAAUAUAAAUACAUAAAAGCAUCCAAUUCUUACUGAACAAAAAAAAAGUGGCACCUCGUUAUGUCUAUGUAAAAGAAACUACAGAUCUUCUGUUCACAGGAUAUGUCAAAACAACAAUUUCAAUACAUUUUACAACGACAGAGCAACUGAAUAUCGCGAACAUGUGAAAGAAGGGAGAGAUGCUAACGCCUGCUCAUUUUUACGUCUCGUCUCUAUGUAUCCUAAUUGUGAAGUACCUAAUCGAAGCCAGCAUCACUGGCAUAUUUGUAUAGUAGAUCAUUUAUCAAU
rnacentral:lncRNA from 1 species